AAGGUACCAGUAUUUUUUACAAAUUAAACAGGACAUUCUUACUGGAAGGUUGCCCUGUCCAUAUAAUACUGCUGCUCUUCUGGCUUCCUAUGCUGUUCAAUCUGAGCUGGGAGACUACAACCAUUCAGAAAACCUGCCAGGCUACCUCUCAGAUUAUUCUUUCAUCCCUGGCCAGCCUCAAGACUUUGAAAAAGAGAUAGCAAAGUUACAUCAGCAGCACAUGUAAGGAUUUACAGUGAAAAACAUUG